CAUUUAUCUUCAUGUCGUCCACGUAAGAACCAAAUUUUAAAAAAUUUAAUUUUACCCAACCCUUUUUCCAAACCCCAAACCCGGGGACUCCUCCUUUGGGUUCCUGGGCAUUCGGACUGAAGGAACCGCAGGCGAAACUGCGACUACCGUAGUGUGAAUUUGCAGAAUUCAGUGAAUCAUCGAAUCUUUGAACCGCACCAUUUUGCGUCCCUUUUGGUAUUUCCUAAGGGGCCAUGGCCUUUGUUUCGAGCGUCAUUUGUACUCUUCAAGCUUUGCUUGGUGUUGGGUCCUCCUUGUCUCUCUUCUUUUUUACGGGGAGACUCGCCUUUAAUUAACGAUUGGCAGCCGGCCUUACUGGUUUUGGAGCGCUAGCUACUAUUAUAUUUUGCGCUUUGUGCCGGGAGAUAAA
rnacentral:rRNA from 1 species